UACGUAGGGAGCAAGCGUUGUCCGGAAUCAUUGGGCGUAAAGCGCGCGUAGGUGGCCUCAUAAGUCCGCUGUGAAAGUCAAAGGCUCAACCUUUGAAAGCCGGUGGAUACUGUGAGGCUAGAGUACGGAAGAGGCGAGUGGAAUUCCUGGUGUAGCGGUGGAAUGCGCAGAUAUCAGGAGGAACACCAAUAGCGAAGGCAGCUCGCUGGGACGUAACUGACGCUGAGACGCGAAAGCGUGGGGAGCAAACAGG
rnacentral:rRNA from 1 species